rnacentral:rRNA from 1 species
AACGAACGUUAGCGGCGCGCCUAACACAUGCAAGUCGAACGCGACAGGGGCAACUCUGUUGAGUGGCGCACGGGUGAGUAACACGUAGGUAAUCCCCCCUCGAGUGGUGGAUAACCUUCCGAAAGGGGGGCUAAUACAGCAUAAGACCACGCCUUCGAAAGGAGCUGAGGUCAAAGCGGAGGAUCGCAAAACUUCGCGCGUGAGGAUGAGCCUGCGGCCCAUCAGGUAGUUGGCGGGGUAACAGCCCACCAAGCCUAAGACGGGUAGCUGGUCUGAGAGGAUGAUCAGCCACACUGGAACUGAGACACGGUCCAGACUCCUACGGGAGGCAGCAGUGGGGAAUCUUGCGCAAUGGACGAAAGUCUGACGCAGCGACGCCGCGUGGGUGAUGAAGGCCUUCGGGUUGUAAAGCCCUGUGGGGAGGGACGAAUAAGUUGCAGCUAAUACCUGCAGCGGUGACGGUACCUCCUUAGCAAGCACCGGCUAACUCUGUGCCAGCCGCCGCCGUAAAAC